rnacentral:rRNA from 1 species
UACGGGGGGAGCAAGCGUUGUUCGGAUUUACUGGGCGUAAAGGGCGCGUAGGCGGCGUAAUAAGUCACUUGUGAAAUCUCCGGGCUUAACCCGGAGCGGCCAAGUGAUACUGUUGUGCUAGAGUGCGGAAGGGGCUACUGGAAUUCUCGGUGUAGCGGUGAAAUGCGUAGAUAUCGAGAGGAACACCUGCGGCGAAGGCGGGUAGCUGGGCCGACACUGACGCUGAGGCGCGAAAGCCAGGGGAGCGAACGGG